rnacentral:sRNA from 1 species
UACUGGCAGUAUUGGCGGAAAUCGCCAG